UCAACCUUCAAGUGCCCAUUCCAAGAAAUACUAGACCUCUUUUUCAGCAGUGGAUAACAUCGGGGAUUUCUAAGAUUGGUUCUAUCCUUUGGAGGUCAGUUUGGGUGAGCGUGCUUUGGGGAAUAUGAAAGGAGCAAACUAUAAGAGUCUUCCAGGGAGUGGUAUUGGAAGAAACUAUCAUUAAAUCAAACAUCUUAGCAUUGGCUGCAUAGUGGUUUUCUACUAAUAAGGAUUGUGCAGGUAUUCCCAAUGGCUUUAUAAUAUUGAAUCCUUAUGAAAUAGCUAAUCUUCAAAGCAAAAGGGCAACCCAGAGCACCGUAUAGAUUCAUCCUCCUUCAAAUACCUAUAAGCUCAACUUUGACGGAAGUUCCUUUGAAAAUCCAGGGACGACAGAUUUUGGAGCGCUUAUCAGAGGUCAUCUUGGACGAAUCCUAUUGUCUUACUCUGGUCCUUGUGGUAAUACAACAGUUAACGAAGCAAAAGCUAGAGGUUUAUUGGAGGGAAUUAAAUUGUUCUCAAAAUUGGAUGGUGGAAAGGUUUUUGAACGGGAUUCAACAAAUAUUAUAGCAUGGUAUAAAAGAGAAGUGACAGUUCCUUGAAGACUCUAUUCUAUUUUUCAUAAAAUUGGUGACAUUCUUCAGUCUAUUGAGUUUGGAAUGCACCACUACUACCGUG
rnacentral:lncRNA from 1 species